rnacentral:tRNA from 1 species
GAGGGUAUAGCUCAGUGGAAGAGUUUGGCCUGAGCAUGCAUGAGGUCCUGGGUUCAAUCCCCAGUACCUUCA